rnacentral:rRNA from 1 species
UCAGAUCAUGUAAAAUUUUCAAGGUCGAACAGACCUAAUUUGCUAGCCUCUUCACCAGCAAUUAAUUUUAAUCCAACAUCGAGGUCGCAAUCUCUUAUUUCGAUAAGAACUCUAAAAAAAAUUACGCUGUUAUCCCUAAGGUAAUUUAAUCUUAUAAUCUAAAUUUUAGGAUCAUAAACUCAUAAAUAAAUGAUUAAAUAAAAAAAAAAGUUUGUUUAAUUUU